UUUGGGAGGCCAAGCUGGAGGAUCACUUGAGACCAGGAGUUUGAGACCAGGCUGGGCAACAAAGUGAGACCUCGUCUCUACAAAAA
rnacentral:miRNA from 1 species